AGUUAGGACAGGAACUCAAACAGGGCAAGGACCUGGAGGCAGAAGCUAAUGCAGAGGCCAUAGAAGGGUGCUGCUUACUGGCUUGUUUCACAUGGCUUGUUCAGUUUGCUUUUUUUAUAGAUCCCAGGCCUACUAAUCCAGGAAUGGCGUCACCUACCUUGCCUGGAGUCUCCCCGAUUAGUCACUAAUUGAGAAAAUUCCUUAAAGCUGGGUCUCACAGAGGCAUUUCCUCAACUGAGGCUUCUUCCUCUCUGAUAACUUCAGCUUGUAUCAAAUUAACACACAAAACCAGCCAGUACACAUCCCAUUUAGGACUGAGUUUUUCAGAAUCUCUCAGUCUCUUCACGUUUUCUAAUUGUGGGACUCUGUGUUAAUUCUCAUCUUUUACAAGAAGAAUUUUCUCUGAUGGCCUAAGAGGGUUCUCUACAACAGUGUACUCAUAUAAAUAAUAAUAAUAAAAAAACCCACAAAACAAAACAAAGAAAAA
rnacentral:lncRNA from 1 species